CAGCCGCCGCGGGAAAACGAAGGGGGCUAGCGUUGUUCGGAUUUACUGGGCGUAAAGCGCACGUAGGCGGACUUUUAAGUCAGGGGUGAAAUCCCGGGGCUCAACCCCGGAACUGCCUUUGAUACUGGAAGUCUUGAGUAUGGUAGAGGUGAGUGGAAUUCCGAGUGUAGAGGUGAAAUUCGUAGAUAUUCGGAGGAACACCAGUGGCGAAGGCGGCUCACUGGACCAUUACUGACGCUGAGGUGCGAAAGCGUGGGGAGCAAACAGGAUUAGAGACCCCCGUAGUCCCUGUCUCUUAUAC
rnacentral:rRNA from 1 species